rnacentral:rRNA from 1 species
CCUGCCCACUGAUUAAUUAAAUGGCCGCAGUAUUUUGACUGUGCAAAGGUAGCAUAAUCAUUAGUUUUUUAAUUAGAAGCUUGUAUGAAGGGUUGGACGAGGUAAAAUCUGUCUCUAUUUAAUUUAUUUUAGAAUUUAAUUUUUAAGUUAAAAAGCUUAAAUUUUAGUAAAAGACGAGAAGACCCUAUAGAUCUUAAUAUUUUUUUAAUUAAUUUUAUUUAGGAUUUUUUUAUUUUUUAUUUGAGAAAUUAUUUUAUUGGGGUAAUAAAGAGAUUGAAUUAAUUCUUUUUUUUCUGUAAUAUAAAUUAAUAGUUAUUUGAUCCAAUUAUUUUGAUUAUAAGAUUAAGUUACCUUAGGGAUAACAGCGUAAUUUUUUUAGAGAGUUCAUAUCGAUAAAAAAGUUUGCGACCUCGAUGUUGGAUUAAAAAUUAUUU